rnacentral:rRNA from 1 species
AGGGCACCACCAGGAGUGGAGCCUGCGGCUUAAUUUGACUCAACACGGGAAAACUCACCCGGCCCGGACACUGGAAGGAUUGACAGAUUGAGAGCUCUUUCUUGAUUCAGUGGGUGGUGGUGCAUGGCCGUUCUUAGUUGGUGGAGUGAUUUGUCUGGUUAAUUCCGAUAACGAACGAGACUCUAGCCUACUAAAUAGCCUGCCUGGCUUACAAACGCCGGCAAGACUUCUUAGAGGGACAGGCGGUGAUUCAACCGCACGAAACAGAGCAAUAACAGGUCUGUGGUGCCCUUAGAUGUCCGGGGCCGCACGCGCGCUACACUGAAGUGAUCAGCGUGCCUAUUCAGCCUACUCUGUCAAGAGUGGGAAACCCAAUGAACCUUCUUCGUGAUUGGGAUAGGGGAUUGUAAUUAUUCCCCUUGAACGAGGAAUUCCCAGUAAGCGCGAGUCAUAAGCUCGCGUUGAUUACGUCCCUGCCCUUUGUACACACCGCCCGUCGCUACUACCGAUUGAAUGUUU